rnacentral:ncRNA from 1 species
UGCGCGGAUAAAUCGACGGAUUGAAAAGCGGCGAUAUUGCUAACCGCCUGACGCGCAUUCUCAAUUAGCGAC